UUAUCCGGAAUUAUUGGGCGUAAAGAGGGAGCAGGCGGCACUAAGGGUCUGUGGUGAAAGAUCGAAGCUUAACUUCGGUAAGCCAUGGAAACCGUAGAGCUAGAGUGUUGAGAGGAUCGUGGAAUUCCAUGUGUAGCGGUGAAAUGCGUAGAUAUAUGGAGGAACACCAGUGGCGAAGGCGACGAUCUGGCGCAUAACUGACGCUCAGUCCCGAAAGCGUGGGGAGCAAAUAGGAUUAGAUACCCUAGUAGUCCACGCCGUAAACGAUGAGUACUAAGUGUUGGGGGUCAAACCUCAGUGCUACAGUUAACGCAAUAAGUACUCCGCCUGAGUAGUACGUUCGCAAGAAUGAAACUCAC
rnacentral:rRNA from 1 species